GAAAUACCGGAGUAGACCAUAAAUUGGUUCACUAUCGGAAUGAACGUAAUUUAAUACCUUCGAUGAGUAACAACUGGAGGGCAAGUCUGGUGCCAGCAGCCGCGGUAAUUCCAGCUCCAGUAGUGUAUAUCAAAAUUGUUGCGGUUAAAACGCUCGUAGUUGGAUUACAAAAGCUCUACGAUGGCCAAGUCAAAAGUGUUUGGUCGUUGUGGGGUUUUUUUAUCGCGAGAGCCGUAUGUGGGAUUAAAUUCUUGUGUGCGGUCACUUGCGAGAUGUGCCUUGAAUAAAGCACAGUGCUCAAAGCAGGCGUAAGCUCGAAUGUAAUAGCAUGGAACGAAUAUGUUGACCGUGUUGACUGUUGGUUGUUGACAUUGGUCUCGAUUAAAAGGGACAUUUGAGGGCGUUAGUACUUGGCGGCGAGGGGUGAAAUCCUUAGACCCGUCAAAGACUAACUAAUGCGAAAGCAUUCGCCAAGAGUGUUUUCAUUAAUCAANAACGAAAGUUGGAGGUUCGAAGACGAUCAGAUACCGUCCUAGUUCCAUACAGUAAACUAUGCCAACAUGGGAUCA
rnacentral:rRNA from 1 species